AUACGUAGGGUGCAAGCGUUAAUCGGAAUUACUGGGCGUAAAGCGCGCGCAGGCGGUUUUGUAAGACAGUGGUGAAAUCCCCGGGCUCAACCUGGGAACUGCCAUUGUGACUGCAAGGCUGGAGUGCGGCAGAGGGGGAUGGAAUUCCGCGUGUAGCAGUGAAAUGCGUAGAUAUGCGGAGGAACACCGAUGGCGAAGGCAAUCCCCUGGGCCUGCACUGACGCUCAUGCACGAAAGCGUGGGGAGCAAACAGGAUUAGAUACCCUGGUAGUCCACGCCCUAAACGAUGUCAACUGGUUGUUGGGGAUUUAUUUUCUCAGUAACGAAGCUAACGCGUGAAGUUGACCGCCUGGGGAGUACGGCCGCGAGGUUGAAACUCAAAUGAAUUGACGGGG
rnacentral:rRNA from 1 species